rnacentral:tRNA from 1 species
UAGCUCAGUUGGUAGAGCAUAACCCUUCCAAGGUUAGGGUCGCGAGUUCGAGUCUCGU